ensembl:lncRNA
UUUAGUCAGUUAGUCAUGUACUUUAGCUGAAAGUAAUAAUUCAAUAAAACACUGCAUGAAAAGUGGGAUUUUUUGCAGUAUGCGGCACUGUAAAUUGUCGUGGAAUUUCAGGUUUGCGGCAAUUUGCGGGCAACGCCGAAAACUGCCGUAAAUUGUCAGAAAUUGAUGUGGGCCUCCCUUGGCAGUUGUCCCCCCAUGACCCCCCUCCUCCUAAUUCUAGGGGAGGCUUUGACAUGUAAAUGAAAAUGCUGUGAGCUAAACAAAUGCAAAUCAGGGUUGCAGAGGGAGUUUUAGCCCAGGUGACAUUUUUUUAAAAGGUAAGAAAAUCUAUGGUACAAAUAGAUCAGGCUCAGCAGCCUAAUUAUAAACUCUUACAUUUUAGCUUGAAUUGAUUAAUUUAAUUCAAAUAUGCUAGAUUACGGUGUACGCCAUUAGCAAUGGCAAAUGUUAUGUAAAAAAGAUACACAAAAUAACUUCUUUAAAAAAGUAGUUUUAAUCAAGGUAAAAUGAGCAUUCCAUGCAAACAACAUUUGAAUCAGCAUGAGGGGUCUGCAGAGAUCAGUCUCCUAGAGCUCAACUACAGUGCAUAGUGGCAGGACUACAGUGACCUUUUCUUUGGUCUUACUUAAAUGCACAGAGGAUGUAUUAACCACACAUCUUCUAGCAAUGCGCUCAACUGGCAGAAAUGAUGCUGGGUAUGACGUAUCUGUUCCCUGCAAGCCCCAAACUUCUAUUGGCUUUCCAUAAAAAUGUCUGUCCGGGUGGGGAUGAAGCCAGGAAACGUGUGCAAGAACAACGUUUUAAAUGCCGUACCCUUUGACACAACAUUAACAACUAUAAACUGCUUUAUAAUGGCUGGUCGUAGUUCUGCUAGAGGGUCAAGGACGGGUUCCUCAAAACUGUUAGUGUUUCCACACCACUUAGCAUGAACAUAUGCUGACCUUUAUGCUCUGCAUCUAUCGAUUGAGUAAGUUACAAUCAUAUAUGUUACCCGUUUACAUGUCAUGGCAAAACAUUCAACCUCAGUGACACAAGGGUACAUGUGAUGAUACAUUGUCAACAUUGCAUGUCUGUCAGACUCAAGAUUGUCUGGUGGAAUGGAGAAAGAGGCACCACUGUACAGAUUUCUAGGGAAAGUCGUUCUGCUGACACCAAAACACUGCUUUACAUAAAGCAUAUCAGCUGUUUCAAAGUCCCAACCAUUUGUCUUCCUAAAAUACUGGUCCUUCCGUAUAACAAUAACCUCCUAUGUGAUUGGAGGACCCUUAGACUCCUCGUCCAAUCACGUGUGAGGUCAUAGGCAUGACUCAGACAGCAGUACUUGCAAGACGAGCAUACAAACAGACACGUACUAUAUUCAGAAGAACUGUAUCUCCAGUUCCUUUGUUUGGUUUUUGCUGGUUCGUGAAUAAUGGCUGGACGACGUCUCUCGUUCAACUCGCCUUCAACUCCUCUCCACGGUCACCAACUUUCGGCCAGUCCGCAGACAGACGAGAAGAAGCUGCUGAAUGCUCUCAGUGGAUCGUCUCGUCAACUACAACAACAAACUGCCGAUAUCAACGAGCGGUUCGCGCCACUGGAGCGUUCGGGACUCUCCAGGUUUCUGUCCAUGGAGGAGAGGAACUGACUCAAAGAAGAGGAGACGGGCGCACAAUCCCAAGAUAGCGGAAGCGGUGCGCCGUCUUCACAACUCCGAGACGAACUACAGGCGCCACGAACCGGAGCAAGGACUAAUCUCGCCUCAUAAUGAGGCGGUGACCUCGUAUUUGCUCUGGGAAAAGUCCAGAUUUAGACAACGUCAUUGUGUGUAAGUGACACUGUUUACUGUUUCUCCUUCCUUGUUAAAUGUUACUGUGACUUGCGUUUGAUUUUUUUUGUAUUCAUACCACACUCAUUUAAUUGUUUUCCAACCGCCUGUGAGACGUAUUUUGAGACGGGACGCAGGAGCUUCAGGUUCAGGCGGAACACUCACUGCGGGCGGAAGCUGCGAAUGAUUCAGCGCGAGAAGAAAGCCGCUGCUGGAAUCGAGACAAAGUGUGCUGGCUGAUGACGAGGUGGAACUCUGGAAAUCCGCCACCGUAGAGCUCACGUCGGCCGGAGGGGACGGCGUUGUUGGCGGGGUCUCGGGGUGGAUUGUACGGUCGCCACACACACACACGAGCCGCCUGCACAACAGACCUGCCUCGGAAAACACGGCGCCAGUGACGGUCUACAACCCCGAGGAAGGCAAACGGACAGUUUACUGAGCUGUAAUUUUUAAACCGCCGUUACCCAAGUGUGGGCAGAUCCUCACUUUGUAUGUAGUUGUUGUUUGUGUGUUGUAAAUAAAGCUUUUUCUUUGCAUAAACAUGUGGCAAAUGUUCAUUUUCUCUCUAAAUUCAUUGAUGUCCUGGUUAGUAUUCCAAUAAUAGUGUAGUAGCCUACAUAGGAUAACCAUGAAAUGAAUAUACAGCAUAAUAUGAAUAUAUAAAUAAAAUGAGGCGGGUGACCAAUAGCGACAGAUCUGCCAACCAAUCACGAGUGAUUGAAAGUUGUGGUUUCAUCCAAUCAUGAACAAGGAAACUCAAGCCUGGUCUGCCCAUGUGUGGUUUUGCUGCCAAUCACGAGUGAUUUUAUUUGUUAGUGAGUUGUGGUUUCAUCCAAUAAGGAGCAAGGAUAUUCAAGCCCGCUCGGCUCGGCCACCCGCGGUUUCGCUGCAUUCAUAUGCUAAUUCGGGGCAUUCGCACCUCCGCCAGCUCUCCACCUACGUCAUGGUUCGUUUCCGACAAUUUGUGGCACAGACAAACGCGAUGUUCGCGGGUUGCAAAUUGUCGGAAAUUAGGGAGAUUUCCGGGCGUUUACGGGGACGAAAAUCUCACUUUUCAUGCAGUGAAAACCACAACAGCAAAGACAUCUAUUAACAUUGAUGAGCAAUUAUCUAUUGCAUAGGAUACAGGCUAUCUUAACUGUAACCUAAGAUAUUACAGAAUAUGUCCAAGCUACAGUAGCUGAAUAUCACCACACAAAUCAUUCUCCUUCAGCUUCAUACCGUUUCUCCUGGCUUGAAAGUUGAUGAUAAAGGGCCGUGUACGUUUUGAUAGUCCCUUUUACCGUAAAAACUAGAAAACUCGUUUUUCCUUUAGAACCAAAAAACGGGACAAACUCACAACUUUUUACUCCGUUAAUCCCUUUUAAGUACGUCGAUUUUCAAAGUAAGAGUCAACGCAAUGGAACCUGUGUAUG